rnacentral:rRNA from 1 species
UACGUAGGGGGCGAGCGUUGUCCGGAUUUACUGGGCGUAAAGCGCGUGUAGGCGGCUUCUUAAGUCGGGUGUGAAAGCCCGGGGCUCAACCCCGGGAUGCCGCCCGAGACUGGGAGGCUUGAGGUCGGAAGAGGGGAGUGGAAUUCCAGGUGUAGCGGUGAAAUGCGUAGAGAUCUGGAGGAACACCCGUGGCGAAGGCGGCUCCCUGGUCCGGUUCUGACGCUGAGACGCGAAAGCGUGGGGAGCAAACAGG